rnacentral:sRNA from 1 species
GGUACUAAGUUCAAUGCUGGCAGUCGUUUCUUCUUUUUUUUUCUUUUCUGUUUUGCUCACCGAUUUCUCGUUAGCACUUAGCACAGUGUCUGGCACACGAUAGAUGCUCCGUCAACUUCUCAGUUGGAUACCAGCAUCCCGAAGGGAACAUGGAUUAAGGCAGCUAUAAGCACGGUGUAAAAACAGGAAUAAGAAAAAGUUGAGGUUUGUUUCACAGUGGAAUGUAAAGGGUUGCAAGGAGGUGCAUCGGCCCCUGUGGACAGGACGCAUGACUGCUACACACGUGUUCACCCCACCCUCUGGCACAGGGUGCACAUACAGUAGGGGCAGAAAUGAACCUCAAGUGCUUAACACAAUUUUUAAAAAAUAUAUAGUCAAGUGAAAGUAUGAAAAUGAGUUGAGGAAAGGCGAGUACGUGGGUCAAAGCUGGGUCUGAGGAAAGGCUCACAUUUUGAGAUCCCGACUCAAUCCAUGUCCCUUAAAGGGCACAGGGUGUCUCCACAGGGCCGCCCAAAAUCUGGUGAGAGAGGGCGUAGACGCCUCACCUUCUGCCUCUACGGGUCACAAAAGCCUGGGUCACCCUGGUUGCCACUGUUCCUAGUUCAAAGUCUUCUUCUGUCUAAUCCUUCACCCCUAUUCUCGCCUUCCACUCCACCUCCCGCUCAGUCAGACUGCGCUACUUUGAACCGGACCAAACCAAACCAAACCAAACCAAACCAAACCAGACCAGACACCCCCUCCCGCGGAAUCCCAGAGAGGCCGAACUGGGAUAACCGGAUGCAUUUGAUUUCCCACGCCACUGAGUGCACCUCUGCAGAAAUGGGCGUUCUGGCCCUCGCGAGGCAGUGCGACCUGUCACCGCCCUUCAGCCUUCCCGCCCUCCACCA